CCCAUAGGCUCACACAGCUAACUGCACUUCACUACAUACUCGUGAGCAAUGCAGCAGAGACGGGAGUCAUGUAACGAAAUCUAGUCGGACAAAAUUUAAGAUUACUUCUCCAAACUGAAGGAUUUUUCUAAAUUGUAUUUUCAGUUGAAACAAGGGGUUGCUCAACAAAACACCAAAGUUCGAAGGCACACGAAUCGAACCGGUUCAAGAACAAGAGUUCCUUCGCUGGAAAAAACGCUAAAAGACAGGAAGAGCAACCUCCGAGCUGAAAGAUUUGCUUCAAACAAGUCGGAGAAAGAUGUAAGGGGUCAUCAGUCUAUAAACCAAGAAAAAUAUUUACUGUAUGUCGAAGAUGGAUUAUCUCGCAGUAUCACUACAUCCUCAUGUACAUGAUCAUCUAAAAGCUUACGGUGAAUAAACGAACACGCAGAACACCCCUUGGGGGGGUGCUUCAACAAUUGGUGACCUCCGACGUGAUUCACGGCUGAAUCAGGGAAUUUGGACAAAGAGAGAGUGUGACAGACGGAAACCUCUGAGACCAGGGCGCCCAUAAUUAAUCAUCAAAGGUGAGGCAGAGCCUAUUUCAUUAAACUCUCCGAUUGAAUUUAUGUAUAGGCCAAAUUAAAACCAGGUCUCAGUGGUUCUGAAUGUUAUUACUCUGUAAAACUGUUAAAGAGUGUGCAUUAACUGAAUGUGUUAAAAUGGAGUCAGAUAUAAAAAUCUGAGAUAAGACCAGGGGUGCAGUCCGCCUGGGUCAAAGGUUAUUGCUGAGUGUGGCUGCUCCACUCAUUAAUUGACAGAUUAAUGAGAUAAAGCUGGGUUUAGUCCCGUGUUUUGGCAAAACACAAAGUAUUGACAGGUCGACGGCCUGACAGAACAUCAGAUUUUUUUUAAUCAGAUGACAGAAUAUCUGAUGUUUUUCAAUCAGGUUACUGCUAGUUGAAAGUCUUGACAGAAUAUCAGAUUUUUUUCAGUCAGGUUACUGCUAAUUGAAAGUCUUGACAGAACAUCUGAUUUUUUUUAAUCAGGUGACAGAAUAUCUGAUUUUUUUCAAUCAGGUGAUCUGGUGGUUCAUUCAGAAAUUUUACAAGGGUUAGUGGCCCCAUCUAGUGUUCACACGGCGGAAUUACACAAGUGACGGGGAAGUGCAGUCGACUUUGAAUAUUUGAACACACAUUCUGACUUAAAAAUGCGGUUGGAUUGUUAAUUACUUAAGCGAAAUAAAAUGCAUUUGUUGUAUAUAGGGUGAAGUGGCUUGUAGUGGAUUGUUUUUGCAUAUUUGUGCAUAUUUCCUGUGUGCGAGUGUCUGUCAGACUUGUGUUGAAUUGAGGAAAUACGAACUGGAAUGUGUUUGUGUGACUGAGCGAGAUGAUCAUUUGGGUUAAAAUAACUGUCGAGUGCUAGGGAUAAGUGUCUGUGUGACGGAUUAUAGAAUAAAUGUGAAUAUUAAGUGUUUUUUGCUGAUAUUAAACGGUAGUGACUGUGGGAAAAAACUGACUACGUAUGUGUGUGUGUGUGACUGGGACAGAUCAGCAGAGAGCCGGUCUGCCAUUGCGGAUGAAUAAAUGCACUGUGUUGUUAACAAAAACAAUACAUUCAUAAGCGGAUUUUGUGCACAUAUUGUGAAAAAUUGAUUGAACAUUUAUUCCGCAGGAUUUUAAACAACAUGGAAGGUAAAUGUCUGGACACAACAGCAUGGGUGGAUUUAGAAACACAAUUAAAUAACAUACAAACACUGGUUCUCCAAACCAGGGGUACAGACGACGCGGACAAAAUUAAAAAUAAGAUCGAAAAAAAGGUGAGGCAACCACUGAAGGCGGAUGGAAUUAAUUUGACGGACAAGUGCGAUUUAGGUGAUUGGUUUAGAAAGAAACUGAACACAGCGAAGAAAAACACACAGGAAGCACAAAGUAAGUUGAAUGAAGCUACUGUUUGGUCCAACGGUAAGUACCGGACAAACGUAGAUAAAUUGGACAAAGAACAAAGUUUUUGGGCAGACAUUCUUUUGAUUUACCACGGCGGAAUUCACACAAUGCAGCGGAAAAAACCCAGAGAAGGAGACAAGAAGGAGGGGUCAAAAUCAGCCCAGGGGACGUGUCUAGACACACCUCCCGCAUAUAGACCCUCCUCCUCAUGCAGCUCCCUCACUGAUGCGCCCACACCGCCCCCUGGUGGAUUGUACCCCAUAUUGAAAGUACAGAAUGAAACACUGGUGGUGCAUGGAUUAGAGAUUCCAAAAGAGGUGAAUGAAUCUGUCAGUGGAACUUCUGGAUUAUCUAUGCCAGCAUCUGAUAGGUCAUUUCAGGAUGCAGGCCCCCACACAACCCCCCGGACAGAGGGACUGAGGACCCCUUACUGUCCAUGAUGGUGUAUGGACAAAAUCUUCCUUUUUUGGUGGACACUGGGGCCACAUGCUCAACUAUUCAACAAGCCCCUCCUACCACCCUCUCCACAAGGACUACCACUGUCAUGGGG